CCCGCUUAGCUUGCACCUCCACUGCCGCUGUCAUCCCCGCUGUCUCCGCCGCUUCUGUCUCUUCCCCGCAGAGAAAAUGACCGUGGGGAGGUCUGCGGGAGCCUCCGGCGGCGCUCAGUGGAGCCGUCAGAUACUUCCCCCCAAAUCCUCCUCAGACACAGAGGCAGAAGAGGAGCUGUGUGGGAAUGGGCUGGUUUUGCCCAGGGCUGGCAAACUGAGUGAGUUCAUCAGCCCAGAGGAGGAGACAGAUUCUACUUCUGACUCAACUGCGAGUUUUUACGAGACCCUGCAGGCACUAAGGCAGAAAGACAGGUGGUGCCUGUUGGAAUCCCUUUAUCUGUCUGACCCAGACAGUGAUGAAAGCCUCUCUGAAGAUGAUGAGGACCUGGAGAGUUUCUUCCAAGACAAAGGCAGGGGGAAGCCACAGGUGCAAUCCCCCCCCUCUCCGAGGUGUGGCUCCAUGAGGCGCUGCAGCUCCUUGAGCAACCUGCCCUCCGAUCUUCCCAAGGCUCAGCCUCAGCCACCCUCCAGCUCCAGGCCUCCCUCCCAGCACAGAAGCAUCAGCUCCUGGGCAUCAUCCAUCACCGUCCCUCAGCCGUUCCGCAUGACGCUGCGCGAGGCCUGGAAGAAGGCCCAGUGGCUGGCCUCCCCUGCCUCCUUUGAGCAUGAGAGGCAGAAGGCCCAGAAGCAGGGCCAGGAGGAGGCCGAGUGCCACCGGCAGUUCCGGGCACAGCCUGUGCCUGCGCACGUCUACCUGCCCCUCUACCAGGAGAUCAUGGAGCGCAACGAGGCACGCAGGCGGGCAGGGAUCCAGAAGAGGAAGGAACUGCUCCUCUCUUCCUUGAAGCCCUUCAGCUUCCUGGGGAAGGACGAGCAGCGAAAGAAAGCCAUUCAACAGAGGGACCUGGUCGCCACAGCUAAGGCCAAAGUUCCCAAGCAGAAGGCCAUCAGGAGGAUCCCCACGGCCAUUCUGGAGCCAGCCCUCGGGGACAAACUCCAGGAAGCUGAGCUCUUGAGGAAAAUUCGCAUCCAGAUGAGAGCCCUGGACAUGCUCCAGAUGGCCUCCUCCCCCAUUGCCUCCUCCAGUGGCCGGGCUGACUCACAGCCUCGAAUAGCCACCCGGACCCGGGAGGAGAAGCUUGGGUUUCUGCACACUGACUUUGGAUUCCAGCCUCGGGUGAAUCCUGCCGUCCCUGACUAUGAAGAACUUUACAAGGCCUUCCAGAAAAGAGCUGCCAAGAGAAGAGACACCCAGGAGGUGACUCGCAACAAGCCCUUCCUGCUGAGAACCGCCAGUCUGCGUCGUACUCCUCGGCCCUGUGAUGCUGCCGCCUCUGAAGGGAGGAGGGAAUCUCCACAGCCACCCGGCACACCCCUGCCAAGGAGUCGUUCUCUGAGUGGCCUUGCUUCCCUCUCUGCCAACACCCUCCCCGUGCACAUCACAGACGCCACCAGGAAGAGGGAAUCUGCAGUCAGAAGUUCACUUGAGAAAAAGGACAAAGCAGAUCAAAGUACUCAGUGGUCGGAGAUGCACAAAAAGAAGUGUCAGGCGAUAUCUAAAUCUGUGACCUUGCGUGCAAAAGCCAUGGAUCCCCAUAAAAGCCUGGAGGAGGUGUUCAAAGCAAAGCUGAAAGAGAAUCGGAACAAUGACCGUAAAAGAGCAAAAGAGUAUAAGAAAGAAUUGGAGGAAAUGAAGAAGAGAAUACAAAUAAGGCCCUAUCUCUUUGAACAAGUUACCAAGGUGUGGUUCCCAAAACAACAGUUGGCAUCUCCUGAGAGUAUUAGAAAUACAGAAUUGCAGGCCCCAUCUGAGAACUACCUAAUAAGAAUCUACAUUUUAACCCGAUCUUCAGGACCUUGCCAGGAAGGAAGCAGAACAACGGUAUCGAGACACCCUGAAGCAUGCUGGGCUGGAUGAAGACUUUGUGAGGAACAAGGGUCAGGGCAACCGGGCUUGACAGUGUAAGGAGCAAUCAGAAGUCCGUGAUUGUCCCAGACUCAAACAUGGUCCUUUUGGUGAUGACAAGAAUCUCUGAUAACUACCACGUGGGUUUGCUAGUUGGAGAUGAAUAUGCUCAUGUCAUCUUCCCGAAGACUUCUGAGCUCGGUUUUACCUGCAUGGACUCCUGAGGGUAAAUCAGUGCCCUAUCUUAAAGGGAAAGACUGAAUUAUUUUCUUAAUCUCCUCUCAAAAGGAAACAAAUUUUGUUUAAAACAAGGAGCCAAAGAACUGACUGGCUGUUUUGUUUAUUUAAAGGAAAAACAAUUGAAGCUCUGAAUCAGGUGAUUUUUAACUUAAAAAAACAAAAAGCAAAAAACAAACAACCUCUUAACAUGCUACUGUAUGUUCCAUAAACAAAGAAAGCAAAGUGGCCAAGUAGAGGUGUAUAGGACAAGAUAGUACCUCAGCCUGGGACAAGCAGGGAUUCAAGUAAUUUAUUUUUUUGAAGACCAGUGGCAGAGAGUCUCUUACUCAGGUUGCUAAAGGGAGAAUGUCACAACAGAACUGACAUCACUCCCUUCUCGAAAGCAACAAGGCAUCUUGAAAGCUUAACUUCUUGGUGAAGUUUUAUGGUUGGUGGCAGGAUUUAGUUCACCCAUGUGAAAAGACAGCUCAGUAUGGGAUGAAAACUCUUCAAAGGAAAACCUCCCCUCAACAGUCUUACUGAGAAACUUCAGCCAACAAAUAAUCAAAUUCACUUUUGGGAGAAGUCUAUCCCAAAACUGUGCAGUGGGAAGAGAGGUAGGUACAGUUACCCAGCCCACAUUCACUGCUUUCUUUCUUGUCUGAAUCAGAUGGUAGUUGAAGAGAAGCUCUCCUACAGUCAUCUUCUAGGCCAGGAAAGAUGAACAGAGGCAAAAGUGGGGUCCUGUCCUUCUCAGAUUCAUUUUGGUUCUGGCAAACUGUGAGCCAUAAGCAUCCUGUUCCCACUACAUGCACUCUGGGAUCAGGUAGAGCUGAUCUUCCGGGAGUCAGCACCCAUGCUCAUGUCCGUCCUUCAGUUAAAUCUCCUUGGUUUAGUAACUGUAAGAGAUUAAAAACAAAUCUGGAAUAGUUACCAGUGAAUAACAGGAAAAAUAAUUCAUACUAAGUGAAAGGUUUACAAUUGGGGGUGGGGAAUGCAUUGCAGGGGUGAGUCAGGGACAGCUAGUUCCAAAUCAGAAGAUAUGCACAGACUGAUAGAUCUCAUUUAUAUACUGGCCUUGGGACAGCACUCUGACCAUUUGAUGAUGCUGGCAUUCCUACUAUAGCAGUAAAAUAUCCUGAUAAUAAUUAUAAUAUCCUAUAACCCAAACUAUUAUUUGUGUAUCACAUACUCACUAGUCAGUGAUGGAGGAAUCUAUAACCACAGGGAAAUCAGAACUGGUGGAACCAAAAAUCUUACAUCAGUCAGUUAGCCAAAGUACAGGCUGAAGGCUCAAGAAGAAGUAAAAGGAAUGGAGUUCUACGUGAGAGCUACAACUCACUCAUGAAAAAUCCAGGGAUUUCUUGGGCUUAAAAUACCUUUCCUGUGAUGAGGGAAGACAAGCCUGAGAGUCUCCAAUAGGGUGGCAGCUACCGUGGACAUUCUACUCUACAUUCAAGGUUCCUGUUGAAAGGUGUUUUUGUAUAAUAAUUGAUGAAAUUGGGUUCCAUUUUAUUAUGAAAAGAAAAUGAGAUGGGAAUAAUACAGUGAAAACAAUAAACACUGUUUGUUAAAAUCUAAUCAGAUAAAUUCUAGAGCUGGAGAUAUAUUUAUUUGGUGAUCUUAAUUUAGAUGACGGUAAUUUACAUAGUAGAAUUCAAUGGUAUGGAAUUUAAAGAAAAUUUUAAACUUAGAGAAAGAAACCACAGAUUUCAUUCGAUACUGUGUGGUAGAGAUUAGGAAUGGUAUAUUUUUAAUCUAGACCAAGAUCCAGAUGUUUACACUGUAACUUAGCAAUGGCACUUUAUGAGAAAUGUUAAAGAAUUUGUAAUUUCUGUUUUCCUCCUUGUUUUAUUUGGGAAACAUUCUAAGAUACAGUCAAAGCUAACUGGCAAUCACUUAUACUGGUUCUUGAAUUCAAGAAUGUGAAGUCAGUGUGGCUAUGGAACCCCAAUUGGGAUGACCUUUAGUCCACAGAAGGUCAAAAGCCCUGGGGUCUCAGCUGGGUCUGUACAAUGAGUCCUCUGUCUGAUUCUCAGAAGACCUGGCCACACUGAGGAAAAAUCAGAAUUGCCCAAUUUGAACCAUCUGAGUGAGAGUUAACUUGUAGUUUUUCAUAUACUUUCCAUGAUCAUUUCUGACACUUGUUCUUGAUAAGUUAUUUUUAUUUUUAGAUCAUAUUUACAGGAGUCCAAUUAGAAGUGCAUCAGCAGAUUCUUACAGGUCUGAUCUACAAUGCAUGGUGAUCUUUAAAAAACAAUUUGGAAUGGGCAUGUGUUGUUUUAAGGGUUGCUAGUGCCUUCUCCUUCUCUGGCAUCUGAGAAUAAUCCCUAAGGAGUCAAUAUUCCUCACUCACUGGAGGAACAGUCAGUACCUGGACCCCGGAUGAGGAAGAGGAUGAAGCCUGGAGCCUUUAGGGGCUUAUAGCUUGAAAAAAAAUGAAGGUAUUGGAGGAUGUGAUAAGCCCACCUUCAGAAGGAAAAGGAGGGGAUGAGCAAUGAAAAUGCCUUGAUGGGAGGAAGGUAAUAAUGGUAUAGUAAAGGAAAGACAAAAGAAGUGAGGCUCAGACAGAAGUUAUAUUUGUAAAUACAUAAGGAUCCAUGAGGAAAAAGUGAUAGUGAAGGAUUUUCAACUAUAUCUAAGGGUAGCACUUUCCUCUUGCGGUGUUAAUAUUAUUCUAUUAAGCGUCUGAGGCUUCCAUUCUGAAACUGGGUACACAGGGCUUAAAGGCCCUUUGUGUUCUCCUGGAGUGAAGGCCAAGUUUUCCUUUGUUUUUUUUUAGGUAGUCUGUGUUAUUGUGUCUGCCUGAGGCUGUGAGUGAGCACCUCCCAGACAAGGACACUCGGAAGCCAGCUACAGGUACACAGUAGGCACUGAAUAAAUGCAUGCUGACCUCACCUGUUAAGUUUUUCAGAGAAGAGGGCCUGGCCUGUGUAACUUGGGUGAAAUUUCUAUACCAGAGAGGAGCAACUGUUUCCUAGAGAGCCCUUUCUUUUCUCCAGAAGAUAUGGCUUUUGAAGGUAUGGAGAAAUUGCUUUAAUUCUCCUCUGUAAAACCUGGUUAUGUUCUGUUUAAAUAUUUUAUAAGUUAAGUUCUUCCAUAACUGCAAUAGGAAAGAUAGAAACAGUUGGGCUAGGAUGCUAGGAUUAUGGAUAAUUUUCUUCUUAAAACUUUUUAUUCUUUUGUAACAUUAUCUUUUCAAUGAAAAAACUUUUUAAAAUAUUCACUUAUCCACUCCAGAGACAACACAAAUGCUACUCAAUCAUACCAUUUCUACUCACAAGAAAUGAAAUUAAUUAAAACCUCCAUUUUGGAGAAAACCCCAUUCCUUAGUCCCUAGUUGCAGCCCAUUUUCCCCAAAUAAAGGAGAGUUGAAAGUCUUACCAUCAUCAACUCCUAGGAUAGAAUUGGUAUUUGGUAGGUUCAAGGACUCUCCACCAAGGCUGGGCUGAGAAUUCAUAGACACCAGGUUUUUACUGGUUACUGAAGCCUCUUCAAGCAAACUACUGCCCAUUAGUGGCUCAGCUGCACAGAGAAUAGGAUGUGAGAGACAUACAGCAGUCAAGGCUGUGCCUGGUCCCCAUUUUCCUUCACGAGAAGCUGGCUUUUUUUUCAGAACUAAAAGUUAACCUGUAUUUUGGAUGCCACCUCCUCUAUUUCACUUACUUUUGGGAAGCAAAAAUAAACCUAGAAGGGAAGAGUUUGAGCCUCAUGGAUAAAUACCCUUGCUUAUGAUCAGCAUCUGGAUAACAAACAUAUAAAAUGGGAUGGGUGCAUCCUUAGAAAGGAGUAUUUAGAAUAAAAUAAUUGAUUAAGGAAAGACAUGGAAAGGAAUAAUAAUAAAAACGUAUUAUCAAAUUUAAGCUAGGGUAAAAAGGGAGUCAUGACUGAUAAGUAAGAAAAUGCUUAAACUCUUGUCAUACAGAAAUCUUCAUCACAGUGACACUCAAAUGAUGGUUCAUGGAUCAGCACCAGUUACCAUCAAACUCACUAGAGGAACUUUCAAAAUUAUAGACUCCAGGAUUUUACUACCAAGUAAUCUCAUUUAUCAGGUUGUUUUGUUUUGCUGGGGGGGGGAGGGGUGGACAAGCAAUACACAAUAUAUGUUUUAAAAGCUUGCAAACGAUUUUACUGUACAGCUACAUUUGGAAACCACUAGUCCAUCAAAUUAGACCAAUCUCUCUACCCAAAAUAGAAUCAGAAAAUUUCCACAUCAGACAGGCCAGUUAUUUGGCUUUUUGAACCCCCAAAAUAUAGCCCUCCACUAUACCCUCUUCUCCUUACCAGUUUGUUCCUGCUCUUGACUCCCAGCUGCUCCCAUCUGCAAGUGAUGCUUUCUCAUGUGCACAUUCCUGCUCCCACUCUGAGAGAAGGUCUUCCCACAGACUUGACACUGAUGUGGCUUCUCUCCUGAAACACAGACCCGGUUAAGACAGGGGAGCCAAAAAGACAGGGUACAUUUCUGACAGCAAGAGAAUGGACUCAAGCCCUAGAUGGAGAAGCCCAGAGGAUGUUAAACUAAACAUUAAGAGGCUACUCCUUCUCCCAUGCCGCACCUUCCCCCAGCCUCUCAACCUUCAGUACACAGGGGAAGGCUGGAAAGUACACCAGGAGGGCUUAGCACACUCACUGCUCCCAGCCUCCAGUACUCUCCAGACCCACUGUACUGCUGCUUCCACAAAACAACUUCUCUGGUAUAAGAUCAUGGUAGACACAGAAUAUUUACUUCCCUUUUCAGAUACAGUCUUCCAUGGACCUCAAGGACAUGCACUACCCUCAAGGAUUCCAACCCUGGAUUCAUAAUAUACCUUUAUCCCGUUUCCUGCCACAACUCCCAGUCUUCAAUGUUCACACUGGUGGUUCUUCUACACAAUGAUCUGAACUAUCCCUUAGGUCCUCGAGUCUGAAACCCUCAACUUCUAUCCCACCUACCCAGACAACCACACUUAGAGCGGGGUCAAAAACUUAUGCCAAAGAACAAAAACAAAAAAAACCCUUAUGCC